rnacentral:tRNA from 1 species
GGUGGCUCAGUGGUAGAGCGAUUGCCUUGUAUGCAUAAGGCCCGGGAUUCGAUUCCUCAGCACCA